GAUGAACGCUGGCGGCGUGCCUAAUACAUGCAAGUAGAACGCUGAAGGAGGAGCUUGCUCUUCUGGAUGAGUUGCGAACGGGUGAGUAACGCGUAGGUAACCUGCCUGGUAGCGGGGGAUAACUAUUGGAAACGAUAGCUAAUACCGCAUGACAACAGUUAUUGCAUGAUAACUGUUUAAAAGGGGCAACUGCUCCACUACCAGAUGGUCCUGCGUUGUAUUAGCUAGUUGGUGCGGUAACGGCUCACCAAGGCGACGAUACAUAGCCGACCUGGGAGGGGGAUCGGCCACACGGGGACGGAGACACGGCCCAGACGACUACGGGAGGCAGCAGUAGGGAAUCUUCGGCAAUGGACGGAAGUCUGACCGAGCAACGCCGCGUGAGUGAAGAAGGUGUUCGGAUCGUAAAGCUCUGUUGUAAGAGAAGAACGAGUGUGAGAGUGGAAAGUGCACACUGUGACGGUAUCUUACCAGAAAGGGACGGCUAACUACGUG
rnacentral:rRNA from 1 species